GAAUUCACUAGUGAUUGAGUUUGAUCAUGGCUCAGAUUGAACGCUGGCGGCAUGCCUUACACAUGCAAGUCGAACGGUAACAGCACUUCGGUGGCUGACGAGUGGCGAACGGGUGAGUAAUACAUCGGAACGUGCCCGAGAGUGGGGGAUAACGCAGCGAAAGCUGUGCUAAUACCGCAUACGAUCUACGGAUGAAAGCAGGGGACCGCAAGGCCUUGCGCUCAUGGAGCGGSCGAUGGCAGAUUAGGUAGUUGGUGGGAUAAAAGCUUACCAAGCCGACGAUCUGUAGCUGGUCUGAGAGGACGACCAGCCACACUGGGACUGAGACACGGCCCAGGCUCCUACGGGAGGCAGCAGUGGGGAAUUUUGGACAAUGGGCAAAAGCCUGAUCCAGCCAUGCCGCGUGCAGGAUGAAGGCCUUCGGGUUGUAAACUGCUUUUGUACGGAACGAAAAGGUCUUUUCUAAUAAAGAAGGCUCAUGACGGUACCGUAAGAAUAAGCACCGGCUAACUACGUGCCAGCAGCCGCGGUAAUACGUAGGGUGCAAGCGUUAAUCGGAAUUACUGGGCGUAAAGCGUGCGCAGGCGGUUAUAUAAGACAGAUGUGAAAUCCCCGGGCUCAACCUGGGAACUGCAUUUAGUGACUGUAUAGCUAGAGUG
rnacentral:rRNA from 1 species